GUAGGUGGCAAGCGUUGUCCGGAAUUAUUGGGCGUAAAAGCGCGCGCAGGCGGUCCUUUAAGUCUGGGUGUGAAAGCCCAGGCUCAACCGUGGAGGGUCGUUGGAAACUGGGGGACUUGAGUACAGAAGAGGAAAGCGGAAUUCCAAGUGUAGCGGUGAAAUGCGUAGAGAUUUGGAGGAACACCAGUGGCGAAGGCGGCUUUCUGGUCUGUAACUGACGCUGAGGCGCGAAAGCGUGGGGAGCAAACAGGAUUAGAUACCCUGGUAGUCCACGCCGUAAACGAUGAGUGCUAAGUGUUAGGGGGUUUCCGCCCUUAGUGCUGCAGCUAACGCAUUAAGCACUCCGCCUGGGGAGUACGGUCGCAAGGCUG
rnacentral:rRNA from 1 species